rnacentral:lncRNA from 1 species
UAUCCCAGGCUUUCCAUCAUUGCCCUUACUGAGAAUCAUUUGCAACACAUCAGUAGCGUGAAUCAUCAGAUCAGUCCUUCAAGCAGGGAAACCAACAAUUACGCUUGGCCCUGAGUGCUCAGGGAGGAGGACGCAGGUGCCAGGUUGGCAUGAAGAGGUGGAGAGACUUCUCCAGGGGGCUCCAUCCUGCCCCUACUUCCAUUCUCCAGGUGAUUCUUCGUGGGCUCCUGGAUGGCCUCAGGAUGGGUCUGGUUGCCAGGGAAGCAACCUCGUGAUUAGAGGAUUGGAACUUUCAUCCCCACCUCCAAGCGUCCGGGGAGAGCAGAAGGGCUGACGACUGAGUUGAUAACCAAUGGCCAACGAUGUUACCCAUGAACGUACCCAUCCCACUAUCAGGCCUGAACUCUCUGAGGCAGAUGGAAUUCUCCUUGAAGGCUCACCAGGAGUAGGAACCAGAAAGCUUGUUCUGCUAAACCUGGAAGAUCAGCACCAUGAGACGGGGAAGGUGGAUGGAGGGGUGAUUUGUCUAAAGUGCCAAAAAAAGGCUUUGUUCUGCUCAUAGUUUGAAAAAAAAAAUGUGUCCAUUGCU